CUAAAAGUAAGCAAGGGCGCAUGGCGGAUGCCUUGGCUCUCGGAGGCGAUGAAGGACGUGAUAAGCUGCGAUAAGCCGCGGGUAGGUGCAAAUGACCUUUGAUCCGCGGAUUUCCGAAUGGGACAACCCAAUAUCUUGAAGAGGUAUUAUCCUACUAAGUAGGAGGCAAACGCAGGGAACUGAAACAUCUUAGUACCUGUAGGAAGAGAAAAUAAAUAAUGAUUCCCCUAGUAGUGGCGAGCGAACGGGGAACAGCCCAAACCAUAUGUGUUACGGCAUGUAUGGGGUUGUAGGACCACGUCGUGGGACGACAGUUAGUGAGUAGAAUGAUCUGGAAAGUUCAGUCAUAGACGGUGAUAACCCGGUAUACGAAGCCAACUUAACCCUAGUGGUAUCCUGAGUAGCGCGGGACACGAGGAAUCUUGCGUGAAUCUGCCGGGACCAUCCGGUAAGGCUAAAUACUCCCGAGAGACCGAUAGCGAACCAGUACUGUGAAGGAAAGGUGAAAAGCACUUCGAACAGAAGAGUGAAAUAGUCCCUGAAACCAUGCGCCUACAAGCGGUCGGAGCAGNNNNNNNNNNGAAAAGCACUUCGAACAGAAGAGUGAAAUAGUCCCUGAAACCAUGCGCCUACAAGCGGUCGGAGCAGUGUAAACUGUGACGGCGUGCCUUUUGCAUAAUGAACCUACGAGUUACUUUUUCCGGCAAGGUUAAGGAUCUUGAGAUCCGCAGCCGAAGCGAAAGCGAGUCUGAACAGGGCGGAUAGUCGGAAGGAGUAGACGCGAAACCAAGUGAUCUACCCUUGGCCAGGUUGAAGGACAGGUAACACUGUCUGGAGGACCGAACCGAUAAGCGUUGAAAAGCUUCCGGAUGAGCUGAGGGUGGGGGUGAAAGGCUAAUCAAACUUGGAGAUAGCUCGUACUCCCCGAAAUGCAUUUAGGUGCAGCCUUGAUUUAUACUAAUAUGAGGUAGAGCGACUGAUAAGAUGCGAGGGCUUCGCCGCCUAUCAAGUCUUGACAAACUCCGAAUGCGUAUUAGUUCUAUAUCAGGAGUGAGGGCAUGGGUGCUAAGGUCCAUGUCCUAAAGGAGAACAAUCCGGACCAUCAGCUAAGGUCCCGAAAUAACCACUAAGUUGAUCUAACGAAGUCAGAUUGCUAAGACAGCUAGGAUGUUGGCUUGGAAGCAGCCAUUCAUUUAAAGAGUGCGUAACAGCUCACUAGUCGAGGAGUUUGGCGUGGAUAAUAAUCGGGCAUAAGUGGUUUACCGAAGCUAUGGGAUGUGUAAACAUCGGUAGGGGAGCAUUCCACUCUGCGUUGAAGGUGAAGCGUGAGCUUUGCUGGAGCGUGUGGAAAAGCAAAUGUAGGUAUAAGUAACGAUAAAGGGGGUGAGAAACCCCCUCGCCGAAAGACUAAGGUUUCCUGAUCAACGCUAAUCGGAUCAGGGUUAGUCGGGUCCUAAGGCUCAGCCGAACGGUGAGGCCGAUGGCAGAACAGGUUAAUAUUCCUGUACUACCUUAAAGAGUGACGUGGAGACGGAGGCGUGACAGUGCCGCGGACUGACGGAAUAGUCCGUUGAAGGGUGUAGAUGUUGAUCGGGGUAGGCAAAUCCGCUCCGAGAGUCGAACCUGAUAGUAUGGAGCGUUCUUCGGAACAAUCCAAUAGUGCAUGUAAACAUACUCCCAAGAAAAUCCGCUAAACUUAAUCUUUAAGGUACCCGUACCGCAAACGGACACACGUAGUCGGGUUGAAUAUACUAAGGCGCUUGAGUGAUUCACGGUUAAGGAACUAGGCAAAUUGACCCUGUAACUUCGGGAUAAAGGGUCCCCACUGUAAGGUGGGGCGCAGAGAAUCGGUCCAGGCAACUGUUUAACAAAAACACAGGGCUGUGCAAAAUUGAAAGAUGAAGUAUACAGCCUGACACCUGCCCGGUGCUGGAAGGUUAAGAGGAGAUGUCAUCGCAAGAGAAGCAUUGAAUUGAAGCCCCAGUAAACGGCGGCCGUAACUAUAACGGUCCUAAGGUAGCGAAAUUCCUUGUCGGGUAAGUUCCGACCUGCACGAAUGGUGUAAUGAUCUGGACACUGUCUCAACCGUGAGCUCAGUGAAAUUGUAGUAUCGGUGAAGAUGCCGAUUACCCGCGAUGGGACGAAAAGACCCCGUGAACCUUUACUAUAGCUUAACAUUGAAUUUGGGUAAUUGAUGUGUAGGAUAGGCCGGAGGCUUUGAAGCAUGUACGCCAGUAUUUGUGGAGCCGCUGUUGAAAUACGGCCCUUUGGUUAUUUGAGUUCUAACUCGUGAUACGAGGACACUGUUUGGUGGGUAGUUUGACUGGGGUGGUCGCCUCCAAAAACGUAACGGAGGCUUCUAAAGGUGCCCUCACGACGAUUGGUAACCGUCGGCAGAGUGUAAUGGCAUAAGGGCGCUUGACUGGGAGACUUACAAGUCGAUCAGGUAGGAAACUAGAGCAUAGUGAUCCGGUGUUUCUGUAUGGAAAGGACAUCGCUCAAAGGAUAAAAGGUACUCCGGGGAUAACAGGCUGAUCCCUCCCAAGAGCUCAUAUCGACGGAGGGGUUUGGCACCUCGAUGUCGGCUCGUCACAUCCUGGGGCUGGAGAAGGUCCCAAGGGUUGGGCUGUUCGCCCAUUAAAGUGGCACGCGAGCUGGGUUCAGAACGUCGUGAGACAGUUCGGUCUCUAUCUAUCGUGGGCGUAUGAAAUUUGCGUGGCUCUGACACUAGUACGAGAGGACCGUGUUGGACUGACCUCUGGUUUACCAGUUGUGCCGCCAGGUGCAUUGCUGGGUAUCUAAGUCGGGAUUGGAUAAGUGCUGAAAGCAUCUAAGUACGAAGCCAGCCACAAGAUUAGAUUUCUUAGGGUCGUCAAAGACGAUGACGUUGAUAGGAUGCAGGUGUACAGGUGGUAACAUCAUAGCCGAGCAUUACUAAUUGCCCGUUCACUUUUGGUC
rnacentral:rRNA from 1 species